UCCAUCUCUAAUGUUUUGUUGGUUGUGUCAGAAGGGAUCAAUGAUUAAUGAAGCUGCUUAGACUGCAUUUCUCUUUUCUAGCAUUUUUCCAUGUGCCAGGGAUCAUAUUUGAUAUUGUACUGAAAUAAUAGCGGAGUAUUCUAAUGAAAAGGCUAGCAAUACUCAUGGAAAACUCACUGCUCUUGUUUAAUUUUAUUUAUGCAGUCAACAUUUUGAUCAAAGGAUUCUCACGUGCUAGAAAACUAUACUCACAUAAAACUGACUAUUGGUCUAUGGAACUGGAGGCACAACCAUGUUGACAAGCUGGCAUCUCUUUGUUCUAUUCUAUUGACUUCAUGUGGCAUUAUGUAUGAAGCCCUUAAAGCACAAACCUUUGGACGCAAGGACCGUCAUGGGAUUUGGAGUGCUCAAUGGCAUCUUAAUUGGACUUCUCAAUCAGAGUCUAGGUUUCAACUCUGUUGGUUUCUAUCAGAUCUACGGGGUUCUCGGCUGGCUGGGAAGACUUGACAAGAGGCACAGGUGGAUUACUACUUCCUUGGAUGUUUUCAGAAAAUAAGUGAAAUGUGCAGACCGACAACAUGGACGGCAGGUCUUGCGGCUCCCAGCGCCCUCAACCCCCCACUGACCCUCUCUCAAUUUUGAUCUCUCCUCUACUCUUCUGGGUGGCGGUGAGAGCGGGUGUGAAACGGGAGAGGCGGCCAUAGGAGGUAUAUGAUAGGAAAAGAAUUGCUCUAUGGCAGUGCUUUGACUCGGUGACCAGAGACUGACUGGGUGUGCUUGCAGUUUGAGGUUGAUUUUUUCUGGUAUACAUAUAAUUGGAGGUAGGCGCCAUGGACGCCGCUCUUGUGCUCAUCAAGGUCCGCUGCUCCUUGUUCCAGUCCCAUGACAAGCAGCAGCAGCAUCAUGGUUGGGUUGGAGCUAUAGCGGCCAGCCACCAGGACGAUGCUGACAGCCAAAGAAAGCUCCUUCCCCACCGCUGACAGCCGAAACCGCUCUUGUGCUCAUCAAGGUUAGUCAAUGUAUAGGACUGCGCUUUUGUGUGUCCUUUUCUUCAAGCUGUCAUUCAGGAGAAGAGAGGAGCGAGGCCUCGAUCCAGACUCAGGAGGAGGAGACGAGGAGCAACACCUAUUUUUAUUGUCCGUCAAGCCCCAUUAUGCUUUGCGGUUCCAGCCACCUGAUCACUAACCUAAAUGAGUAAGUAGACCAUUAUAUAUGAUGGUCUUGCUUCCUUUUGUGAUCAUGUAUCUAUGUUAGAUCCGGUGAGAAAAGGCGGCUUCCAAGCAGAGGAUGCGGCAGUGUUUGGCAACGUUUGGUUUUCAUAAGCUAAUAAUAUAUCCCUUCCUAUCUACUUCCUUUGUGUACCACAUUGUAACUAAGCAUCUAUGUACCAGUAGUAAAGACUUGGGUGUCUGAAUAUUCUCACAAUA